GCAGCCCUGGCUGGGGACCCGGAGGAGGGCGAGCCAGGAUGAGGCCCCCGAGCCUGGGAGGGGGAGAGGCCGGGAGGGAGGCCUGGCGCAGGCGUCCGCCUGACCCGGUUCAGACUUUCUCAAACCCACACGGCCGUCCACCGUCCACCUGGACCGGUGUCGCCCGUAUCACUUCCGCUGCGCACUGAGCACAGACGCUCAUGACUGGUGGUGCACGCGCUGUUUGCUCCAGUCCGUGUAACCUGAAGUCGCCGCCAUCAAGAUCGUGGUCCUCAUCCGCACACUCACGUUCCUGGCAGAAGGUGGAAAACCCAGGGGUCCAUCAGCAAACAAAACGUGGUCUAUCCAUACAGUGGAACAUCACUCAGUCUUAACGAGGAAGGAAACGCUGACACCUGCUACAGCAAGGGCCUCGAGGACAGGAUGCUGAGUGGAACCGGCCAGUCACGGAAGGACAAGUACUGUGUCAUUCACUCAUAGGAGAUCGUCAAAUUCAGAGACACAAAGUAGAAUGGGAUGGGGGAGGGAGGGCGGGGGGGAGGGGGACAGCCGAGUUCUUAUUUAAUGAGGACGGACUUUCGGUUUGGGAGAAUGAAAAAGUGUUGGAGGUGGUUGCACGACAGUGUGAAUGUAAUGAAUACCACAGAACUGUGCACCUAGAAAUGGCUGAAUGGUAAAUUUUAUGUUUGUGCAUUUUACCACGAUUUAAAAAAACAAAAAACAAAAACAAAACCGAAAUGCCUCCAUGCGCCCAAGAGCUCAUCCUGCACGGGGAUCUACACACCAAGACUACCUGGAAGGCCCCUGCACCUUCCAACCAGAAGUAUUUGUCUCCUGGGCGGGCUUGCGUGGACCUGGCCAGAAUGGCCUCAUGCAGCUGGGCCUUGAGACCAGUGAGUGAAAUCUGGGCACUUCACUUACCUGCAAAGAGACAUCACAGUGGCCAGUGGGAAAGCUCAAGACUCGAGUGGCGGGGCAAACUGUCCUGCGGGGCCUCACAGGCUUGGAAUUCAGGGCCACAGGAAGUGGGGACAGGACCUGAAUGUUCCAUGGCCUCCUGGAGAGAAGCCUCACAGCCGGGCAGUGCACCCUCCUAGUGGCCUCCCAGAGGCUCCUCUUCCGGGAGGCAGGGAGUAGAGGGCAGGGGCUGUUCACUGUAGCCACAGUGACGCUGCUUUUCCGGAUUCCCAAGUCUGCCCGAGACGGCUUCGGACAGACACGGUGCCCCUGUGCAGUGCAAAGCCCUCCAACAGAUCCUCUUUAAGGUUCUUGGGGGUCCGCUCUGUCCCAGGGAAGGACACAGCAUCCCGACUACUGGCCCUACCCCAUCCCCACUGUGGCCUCACUAGAGAGUGAAAGCAGAAAGGAAAAGGAGGCUCAGAGAGGUUAAGUGACAUGCUCAGGGUCACACAGCUGAUAACCUCAGAGCCAGGACCGGAAACCAGUCGCUCUGACCACAGAACUCACACUCUCCUACAACUGUGUUUCUCAACUAGGAGUGGGUGAGUGAGUGUGUGGAGAGGAGCCCCAAGACAGACGCGGAUCAGCCCCCAGAGCAUUAGGUUUACUCAGACAUCUGGGGUGGGAGGUGGGGAAGCAAGCCAAUGGAUAAAAUCUUACUUCUUCAUUACUCGACUUCAUUACCUCAUCCGCAUAGUAAAGGGGCAGAGCACAACACCCGUAUGGAUUCUUCAGCAAACCCAGGGACUUCGGGCUGGCAUCCGUCCCAUCUUCUGAGUUCACUGGCCCCCACAAUUAAGGAAACAUUGGUGGAAAAGUUCGAGAAGGUUAUGUUCCAUCUGCCACUUUGGGGAGAAAGUACCACCCCAUCCUGUGACGUGCUUCACGACGACUCACCAAAUGAAAGGAUAAGUCCGCUGGAACAGGUCGGCACGGGUGUCCUUUGUGGCUGCCUCCCAAGCCCCCCAGGUAUACUUCACGCCCACUGCAGAGCCCAACGCGCGGCUUGGAUUCACAACCCUGAGAUCAAGACUUACACUGAGAUAAGAGUCAGAUGCUUAACCGACUGAGCCACCCAGGCGCCCUUUGCUGCCUCUAUUCUGGCUGGGACCCACACCCUGCCUUACACAUGCCUUUUAGGACAGAUAAUAUAUGUCUUCCUUAUAAAGGUCAAGGAGUUAAUGAUUUCUUUGGAAUUUUCCAGCACAACAGAUAACAUCUAAGGAGUGACCGGGUCGGGCAUCAUUCCCAAGACCACUGAGCCACCAAGACCCCUGGCUCCGGGGCAUUAGUGCCUUACAGAGGACCUCUAAACACUCGCCUUUGUUCCUGGAUGCCUGAGAAGACGUGUGCACAGGACCACAGUCCUCAGUAAAAACCCCAGAGUCCAAGCAAAGACUCUCUCUCCUUUCCGAGUCUCCCAGACACGGUCUGUCCCUGCACUCUGUGUCUGCAAGAAACUCCACUCUCACCUCCUGCGGGCCCGAAUUUGAUGUCACUCCUGCGAGAACCCAAGUACCCUCUUGUUUGGUUCCGUGAGACCCCCUCUGGGUCCUCAGACCCAGCCAGCCUGCAUUAAGGGGGGGUGCCCUGUGGCCCCGGCGCCUCCUGCUUCUCUGGACUUGACCCUGAUCCCGGCCACCCAGCCAUCACCAGGCAGUGUCUGGGAGAGAGAACGCCUGCUGCUUUUCUCACUUGCCCCGGCAGGGAGAGGGCCUAAAGAGGGGUGCAGCAACUCCCUGAGGCGCUGGAGCCUGGGGCGCCCCAGGGAUGACAGAGGCACCGCCCCGGCCCCUGGAGGUAGUGGUCCUUUGUGCCUCCCAGGCUGAGUCCCUGCACCCUUCCAUCAGUCUGUCCAUCUGACACACGGCGACCCGGCCACCCCAGGGUGAGGGAGACAGGAAGGUGCUUCUGAGAGCAUAGCCCUGGCAGACGCUCUGUGUGCUCAGGGGCUCUAGGACCCACAGGGGAGGCUGAGCAGGUGGGACUCCCUUCUUCUCUAAGGAGGGCUGUUGUUGGGCUCCUCAGUAAGACUCCCCCUGACGAGCGAUUAAGCUACUAAAAACCAUUUGGGGCCCCGCCCCCCCCCCCCAUGAGGUGUCCAGUCAUGACCCCCAGGGCUGCACUGCACCAAGACCUCAUCGUUCCUCUUUGGGCCUCCUUACAGAAGGCCCCUUGAGACAGAAGAGCAUUGGACUAAAUCAAACAGACCCGGAAGAAAACCCCAAACAACAGUGGCUUAGACAAGAUGAAAGUUUCAUUUUCUUGCACUCUCAAGACGUUUACAGGUGGCCGGGGCUCGUGCGGCAAGCAGUGUCACAGUGCCAGGACCCUGAGCUCCUUGCAUACUGUGGCUCUGCCGUGCAGUCUUCAUUUCCAACCUCAUCACCUCAUGGUCCAAAAUGGCUGCUAACGCUCCUGCCAUUAGAUCUGCAUUACAGGCAGCAGAAGGAGAAAGGGGAGUAAGGUGUGUCUUGCCCUUUAAGAACCUUUCCUAAUGUCAAACACUAUUUUUACAUCCAGGCCAAAAUUUAGUCACAUGGUCACACCUAAGUAUAAUGGAGACUGGGAAGUAUCUUGAUUCCAAGCAGCAAAUGCCCAGGUAACGUAGCAGGGGUUCUAAUCCCUUGGACCACUGGAGGUGGUGGGGUGGGGACAGGAACCCGGAGGACAGUGAGCAGUCUCUGCUACAACCACCAACGAGCUGUGUGCCCUUGGGCAAGUCCCUUCACCUCUCUGAGCUCCUGUCUGGGGGUGUAGGGUGGUGUCUCCCAUGGGGGUACAGGAAGGCUGUCUCCAAGGCCCCUCCGUGCCCGGACAUUUUGUGACCUUGCAGCAGGGAGCCCAGGGAGGCUAAAACCAAGGACAGAAGAUGAUCCUGUUUUAAAGUUGCUGGUUCUCAGGUUUACAGAUCGCCACGAGCGUUCGACGUGAUGAUUGAUUUUCCACCUGCAAGCUGACUGUCACAGCCUGGAAGUGUCCACAAGCUGCACGAGGCCUGGACCUUGCCUGCCUCUCUUAUGCUGUCUCAAGUGCAGAACAACAGAGACCCCACCAGACAAUGGUUGGAGGAACCCCGAGCCCAGCACCCAGCCUUCAUCAGCCCACCGAUUCUCACAUGGCUUGUAUAAUCACACCCACUCUGGCGGUGAGCAAACUGAGGCUCACAACAUGAAAACCUUGUCUGGGACCCAGGACCAAGGACCCAGGACCCGGGCUGCAUUUGACUUUCAUGUGCCCAAGGCAUUUUACCUUUCUGGGCUCCUUCCUCCAUUAAAAAUACAAAAGUUCUGGGGCAUCUGGGUGGCUCAGUCGGCUAAGCAUCCAACUCUUGAUUUCAGCUCAGAUCAUGAUCUCAUAGCCACGAGAUCCAGCCCGGUGUCAGGCUCUGCACUGAUACCGUGGAGCCUGCUUGGGAUUCUCUCUCUCUCUCUCUCUCUCUCUCUCUCUCUCUGCUCCUCCCCCCUUCUGUGUUCACAUGCCCACAGGCUCUCUCUUUCUCUCUUUCUCUCUCAAACAAACCUGAAAAAAUGUAUGA